rnacentral:rRNA from 1 species
GAUGAACGCUAGCGAUAGGCUUAACACAUGCAAGUCGAGGGGCAGCACAAGGUAGCUUGCUAUCUGGGUGGCGACCGGCGCACGGGUGCGUAACGCGUAUGCAACUUGCCCUAUACAGGAGGAUAACCCGUCGAAAGACGGACUAAUACUGCGUAUGCUCACAACUUGGCAUCAAGUGGUGAGGAAAGAAAUUCGGUAUAGGAUAGGCAUGCGUCCCAUUAGCUUGUUGGUGAGGUAACGGCUCACCAAGGCAACGAUGGGUAGGGGAACUGAGAGGUUUAUCCCCCACACUGGUACUGAGACACGGACCAGACUCCUACGGGAGGCAGCAGUGAGGAAUAUUGGUCAAUGGGCGCGAGCCUGAACCAGCCAAGUCGCGUGAAGGAUGACUGUCUUAUGGAUGGUAACCUUCUUUUAUACGGGAAUAACAAGAGUCACGGGUGACUCCCUGCAUGUACCGUAUGAAUAAGCAUCGGCUAACUCCGUG